rnacentral:lncRNA from 1 species
GAGAGGGAGAGGGAGGGGGGAGAGAGAGAGGGAGGGAGAGAGGGAGAGAGAGGGGGAGAGAGAGGGGGAGAGAGGGAGAGGGAGAGGGAUCUUCAAGGACAAUAUAUAACCCCCAAAAGCACUCCCCGGGGACCCCCUCCUGUGGCCACACCUACUUGCCCACAGUUACCACCCAGUUAACCCUAUCAAGGAAUUAAUGCCCUGACCAGGUCAAGGCUCUCACAGCCCCGUCAUUUCACCUCUAAGCCUUCUUGCAUUGUCUCACAUAUGAGCUUUGGGGGACACCUCACAUCUAAACCAUAACAGAGAGUUUGAUCCAUUUGUGCUCUUGGUGUGGUCCUAGGGUCCGAACCAUGGGCUUCACAGGCAGUAGGCACACUCUAUACCACUGACCUCCCACCCCAGCUGACCUGUCAACAGCACAGGUCUGAAGUGCUUGGGUCUACUUACACUUAUUUAUUUCAAAAUUUGUGACAAUGAGAAAAAAACUCAUGAACCACAUAGCUUAGAAAUAAUAAAAAAUUAAGAAAAAGUUACACCUGUCAUGAAUGCAUGAAAUAUAUGUCGAUAUGUCCACUUUAUCACUUAUUGCCACAAAGUAGAUACACAUCUAUUAUAAAAAGUUAAAAAUCACUCCUACAAACUCUUACAGAUCACACUUGGUGCUGUUGAAGUCAGUAAAUAUGUAUAUAUACACAAUGGAAUAUCACUCAGCCAUAAAGAAGAAUGAAAUAAUGGCAUUAGCUGGUAAAUGGGUGGAACUGGAGACUAUCAUGCUAAGUGAAAUAAGCCAAUCCCCAAAUCAAGGCAGAAUACUCUGUCUGAUAUGUGGGUGAGACUCACGAUAAGCAGGGUGGGAGGAGGAAUGGAAGUUCACUGGAUCAGGCCAAGGGGAAGGGAGGGAAGGAGGGGAAUGGGAAUGGGAAAGACAGUAGAAUGAAUGAGACACCCCUUUCCUGUGUUCAUGUGAACCUCACACCGUGCCUCUACCCAUAGCACCUCCAUGGAGCUGGGGGAGGAGGAUAGGAGCUGGACGUGGCAACCAGACCCUCAUCACGGAGGGACCCUUGUGACUUUCAGGAAGAGGGCAAAUGAGAGUCCCAUGUCUGUGGGAGCUCUCCAGGAACACUCCCUGUGCGGGCAGGUGUAGCUCCGCACCCCUAGGAACAGCCCUCGUCAGGAUCCCCUCAGGAGGCUCCGCCCUGAACAGCGUGAGCAGGCUGAGGCCAGGUGGCGUUCUGCCUUGCCACUGCCCUGGGGCACCUCUGGGGAGCCUGCAGGAGGGGAGCAACUAUACCACCCACUUCUGGGGUUCUGUGGGUCUUCCCACCCCCCCGGCACUGUCCGGCACCGCGUGGCUGGCGGGAGAAGCCAGGAGGGGAGAGGCUGGGCCCUGGCGACUUCACCAGAGACCUCUCUGGCCUUUCUGCUCUGUUUGUGAUUCUGCAGCCGACUCUUGCACUGAGUGCAUCUUAUUGUGGAUGAUCGUAUGCUGACCGUGAUAGUGAUAAGGACCCAGAAGGAUCUUUAGAAAUGUAGAACCUAUAGGGAAGUUUUAAAAAAUAGCCCUCAAAAGAACAUAAAGUCCAACUAUGAUUCUUUUUGUCAAUAAGUAUAUAAUAGGAUUAUUGAUUUUAAAAAAGCCUAAAAUUGAUGAGGAUAGAAAUCACUGAAGAGAGUGUGAUAGAUAUAAAGGAGAAAGGCAAAAUGGAUCAUUUCUGAUUAUUAAAAACUUGUGUGUGUUUAAAAGGUCACGAUGUUUGUAUUCCACAGUCAAGUAACAGUUUUAUCUUAAAGUUCUCAGGAUACCAGACAGAAAUCUGACCUUUUGUAACUAUUUAACUUAUGAGGCAUUUUAGGUGUCCAUUCAGAAAUGCACAAAGGCGGGAAGUUCUACAUUUUUAAAUGAGAUGCUCAAGCCAGAAAGAUGGAGGACUCUGCCCAGGCUCUGGGCUGAGCCCUGCGGGUCGUGGCGUGUGGUGCUGGUCCCUUGCCAGCGCCUGCAGCCCCCUGAGGGCAGCCAGUCACCCUGCCGUGUGUAGGGCAUGAGAUAAGGGCCCGCGGUCAUGUCGCCGACAGAGGAAUGCCGGCUUUUCUGAGGUGUCCUGGGGUGCCAGGAGAUGUGUCCAGAGGUCAUUUCCAGGAAGAGCGUCACUUCUGGGGCGUGCAGAGGGGUAGGAAGGGUGGCCAGAGGGGCCGCAGCGCCCGCAGAGAGAAGCCCAAGACCAGGGCUCACCCUGCGGCGGGGCGCUGGCCCCUGUCGACCUGGAGUCCGUGAGUGCAGGGUGCGGGCACCGAGUGCAGGCUCCGCCUCCGCCUGGCCUCUCCAAGACGCGCAGAGGACAGUCAGAGGGCCCCUCGGCUCUACUCUGGGAAUUAGGGGUGACUCCCCCAAGGACCCCAUUUCUUCCGUUACUGUCCUCCAGCAGCCACAUAAUGGGGGCAUCUAUCCACCAGCACAGGAAAGAUGGACAGCGACUGGCCCUUACAGAGGUGUUUCUUACAUCUCUAUCUAGAUAAAAUGUUAAAUCUUAUUUAUUUUCUAUUGAUUUUAGACUUACACAAAAUUAACAAAAUCAGUAUGCGAUUCCCCACAUAUUCCUUGCUAGCAUGGUGGUCCAGGACCAGGAAAUCAGCUUUGAUAGCAGGACUGCCCGAGGAGGACCCUGAGGUGUGGCCAGCUGCUGCAGGACGCCCCACUGCGGUCCUCUGUCACUCUCCAGCUACUGCAGCCGGCCGCUCUCCCUGCAGUCACAACUUUUCUUUCAUGACCUUGACACAUUUGAAGGGUAUAGGUGACUCUGUCCAGCCCUCUCCCUGGGGCUCUGUCUGGCUCCACGGGGCUGGCCGGGCCUGGGGCUUGUGGUGCCCCUUGAUGGCUGGGCUGAGGCCGUCCCUGCCCUGCUGUCCCAUAAGCAUCUUGGGGGAGAUCUGCUGAGAUGGGGAAAAACUGCUUCUCCCUAGUCUCCCCGCCACCCCAGGUGUCCAGUGGCCCUCCUCGAAGCCUGGCCACUCACCCCGACAUCCAGUGACCUUCCAUGGCUGGCCUGGAGUCCUUGGGGAAGAGCUGUCCUUCUGCCCAGUCAGGCUCUGUGGGGGCGAGGAGAGCCUCCCCCGUUCCUGGGCCCUGGUCUCUGCGUGGGGCGGGGUGUCUUCCUGGUUCUUCUUAGUGGGGGUCAUGCCCUUGGUCCAGUGGGAGGUGGGGCAGGUCUCUAAUUGUGGGUGUGGUGCCAUCCCCUGUACCAGACCCCUGAGGGACUCCGAGUUUCAGCUGCCUUGGUCACUCCAAGGCCAUCUCAGUUUUAUUCUUUACUGUCUGGGUGAGAAGGAGUGGUCACCCACACCCAGGUGGCCCCCAGGUUUCUGGACCUGCCUUUUCAUCUCUCCUUCAAAACAGCCACUCCCUCCCGAGCGCACCUCCUGUCAACAGCAGUGACAGUGACCAGUGUCGCCGGCGUCCUGUUCUCUGACCACUUCUAGAGCUCUGCGCUCCAGAGGGGCAUGGUGGCCUUCGCACCCACCCAGAGGACUUCCAGGAAGCUUGGGUGUCCUGCAUGCCGCCUUCCUGUGGGCAAGAUGCCUGCGCUUCCGUGGCCUCCAGCCGGCAGGACUCGGCCUGGCAGGACUGUUGGUCAGGCCGCACUCCACCACCAGUCCUGGACCAGUUAGGGCCUCAGGGACAAGUCCGUGGCCCAGGUGACAAAAGCGGGUUCUCCCACAGGCUGUGUGUUCCACAGAAGGCCCUGCUCCCAGCAGAGUGGACGGAGGGCUGCUGCAUGUCCCCAGGUCCCCUCCAUCAUGGGUGUGCCUGCACCUCACUGCCAGCUCCUGACUGGGUGGCCUUUCUUCUGUCUCCUCCUCCUCCUCCUUGAGGUGUGGUGCCCAGGCCCAGCACACACUCGGCAGACGCUGCGCCACCGAGCUGCCUCGCCAGCCCUUGCUAAGCACCCAGAGUGGCUCUGAGUGGGCUCCUGUCUGUCUCUGGAGUGGCUGGGGUCCAGGGGUGUGCCCACUGUGCCUGGCUGGGCAGCUUUAACGGGUAGCAUUGUUGUUAACUCACCUUCCAGUUUUUAGUACGGUUUCCCGUGUGAACCGUGAGCUAUUAUAAAGUGCAAUUCAUGAUCUCUAAAUAUGUAGGUGUCUCUAGUCACACUUUGUCAUCUGAUUUCAAUGGCAUUAAAAUAGAUUCAAUAUGAUCUCAGCAGUGAGUUUGUUUAAAUGUGCUUUAUAGUUUAUAUGAUCUCUUUUGGCAAAUCUUCCAUGUCUGUCUAAAAGAACGUGCCUUCUACCAUUACUGGGUCCAAUAUUCUAUGUACCGAGUGUGUGAAUGCCAUGUAAAAUCUGUGAUCCUCACUGAUUUGUGAUCUGUCUGUUAGCUGAGAUGGUUUCAAGCUCCAUUGUGAUCGUAGGUCAACUGUUUCUACUUGUAGUCUCUGUAUAUAUUCUGAAGCCCCAUUGCUAGGGACAUACAGUUUUGUGUUUUAUUUUGAUGAAUUGAUCCCCAAAUCAUUUGAAACAUUUUUUAAAAAAUGCGUUCUAGUUGUCACUGGACGUGAUUUUUAUUUAUAUGUAUGUGGUGCUGAAACCUCACACGCCGUGGGCAGAGCCCUCCCACUGAGCCAGCCGCCCGAGACCUUCUCCUCCAGUCAGUGACACUGUCACCUUCAAGUCCCUGGCCUGAGGUCAACAUAGCACCGAUCGUCCAAUAGUAAAUACCCGUCUCCUCGUCGCUGUCAUUCCUGUGUCUUUAGCCUUAGGAUAUGUUCCUUAUAAGCAACGAAUAGUUUUUAAAACUCUGGUCUGACGCCAGCCCUCUUUACCCCAGCUCCUCUGGGGUCCCAACGCCUUUGGGUGCUCCCCUCUUACCCGUCUGCCUGCUGGGCCCGGUCCUCCCCUCUUCUCUUUUCUUUUUGAGUCGGCGCCUUGCUGUGGGGCCUGGCGCAGUGCCCACUAUCCCACUCCUCAGGAUAUAUGCAAAGGACUUAAAAUUAGCAUACUAUAGUGACUUGGCCACAUCAAUGUUUAUAGCAGCUCAAUUCACAAUAGCUAAACUAUGGAACCAACAACCUAGGUGCCCUUCAACAGAUGAAUGGAUAAAGACAAUGUGGUACAUAUACACCAUGGAAUAUUACUCUGCUGUAAAGAAUGAAAUUAUAGCAUGGUAUGUCGGUAAAUGGAUGAAACUGGAGGCUAUCAUGAUAAGUGAAAUAAGCCAGUCCCAAGGAACCGAAGGCUGAAUGUUCUCUCUGAUAUGCUGAAGCUGACUCACAUAGGUGGGGUGGGGUGGGUGGAGGCUCACCAGAUUGGAAGGGGGAGGGGGCAAUGGGAAUGGGAAAGACAGUAGAACAAAUCAGAUAUCACUUUCCUGUGUUCAUAUAUGAACACAUGACCAGCAGCUCCACACCAAGUACAGCCACAAGAAUGGGAAGUCAUACCCCGUGUGUGUGUGUGUGUGUGUGUGUGUGUGUGAGGAGAGAGAGAGAGAGAGAGAGAGAGAGAGAGAGAGAGAGAGAGAGAGAGAGAGACACGUCAGAAUGCAUUCUCCUGGGGCUGGGCUGUGGCUCAGUGGUGGAGCUCUCACCACCUAAGUGUGAGGCCCUGGGUUUGAUCCCAGCACCACAUAAAAACAAAUAAAGGCCUUGAGUCAAUACAUAACUAAAAAAAAAUUCUAAAAAAUACAUUCUACUGUCACAUGUAACUAAAAAGAACCAAAGAUUUCUUUAAGCGCCUGGGUCUAGGGACUCCAUGGCUGGCUCUCUGGGUCUGUUUUUUGUCCAACUUUUAUCAUUUCUCAAUCAUGUCUGUUUUCUUCACUUGCCUGAUUAUUUCUGGUGAGCUGAGCACAGUAUGUGGAGCAUCUUGGAGACGCGCUGAAGUCGUGGACAGGUCAUCUUUCUCCUGGGGGGUCGGUGCGUCUGGCGGGCAGCAAGGCGGAGGCAGCUCCAGGUGUGGGGCUGGCGCUGGCUCCCGAGGCCUGCUUUAUUUCUUGAAGGGUGCAGCCCUUCAGACGCCUACCAGAGCAGGGUUGCUGGGUAAAAGGCAGGACACUUUUUUUGGUGUAUGUCCUCAGUCCUGUCCUGUCUUUAGUUAGCUAAUUGUGGCCACCCUAACCCAAGCCCUGCCGAGCCCUCUGAGUACAGACGCGUCCGCUUGGCCCCAGGCUCUGCCUUGCAAGCUGUUCCAUCUGUUGGCCACAGGACCUGGGCUGCCUCGGGUUCCUUCUCCAGGCCCUGACUCUUCACUUCGGAGCUCUCCAAGGCCUCAGACUCCGCUCCACCCAGGAUCUGCUCAGGCUACCUGCCGCCCCAGCUUUGGGGACCCGGAUUGGCAGCCUCCUCUGGGUUGCUGUAGGAAGGCCCAGUCCCCGCAGGCCAUCUGCUCUUUUGUGGGGGUACUUGAAUGGCCCGGCUGUACGUGGUGCAGCUGUUCAUGUCUUAUCACCGGCAUAUUUUUUGUCCCUUUUAAGAUUCAUUUCAGGAUUUCCUUUCCCUCCCUCACCUUUUUUUUUUAUAAAGGAAGCAACUACAGAAAGCUUUUAUUUGUUCAAAGUAACCAGUGCUACUGAUGCAAAACAAAAAAACAAAACCCAACAACUCCCCAAUACUACUUUCAAAACCAACAUAUCAAACUUGAUUUUCAUUAGAAUGUAGUUAUUUUUCACACUAGUAAAUCAAAAACCAAGACCCAGAUUUUAUAUAUAUAUAAAAUAUAUAUAUAUAUAUAAAUAAAUAAAACAAUGCAAAUAGUUAUUGAGCUUCAUCUUCUGGACAAGAAUGCCAAGUUAGUCUCUCUUCAUAAAAAGCAAUUACAAUUUGAGGACACUCCAUAUUUGCUUCUUUUGCCAGCACCAAGUCUGCCUCAUCUGAAUCUUUCCAUUUCAUAAGAAACAUCAAUUCUCCACUGCUGUCUGUGGCACCAAUUAUUCGUUCAGGAUCAAGACCUCUGGCAAAGCCUCUUGGUUUGUCAGCAGCAUCUCUUUUCUUCUUUGACUUGCUAUCAUCAGAUUCCCUGUCAGAUAAAGAUUUUCUUUUGGUACCAUAUUUUUCUUGACCAGCUUUUUGAGAAUUAAGAAAUGCUUCAAUUAACUCUGGACAAUCUAAAUUUUCUUCAGGUUCCCAAGUAUUGUCAGCAUCUGUAAAUCCUUUCCACUUCAGAAAGUAUUCCACCUUUCCAUUUACUACACGUCGGUCUAGGACUUUUUCUACCACAAAUUCUUCAGGCUCUGCCUCUUCAACUUUUUUACUCUUUCCAUUCUGUUUCUUUCCCAUUUUUUUGCAAUGUAGUCUUAUUGGAGGCCAUUUUUUUAAAUUGCAGACUUGAAGAGCUACAAUCACCACCUCCGAUGCUCCAGGUCGCGGAUCUGCAGCGUCUCCAGCCCUGCGCGCCUCCCUCCCUCACCUUUUUGUUUUGAGUUUUUCUGUGUUGUUCAGAUGGUUUCUAAACAUCCUCCUGCCUCAGCCUCCCGAGUAGCAGGGACCUCAAUGCACACCUCCGUGCCUGGCUUCAUUGCAGGAUUUUCUUAUUCUGAGAAUUCACCUUUGUUCAUGGUCAGUCCCACGCCCUGGAGACACUGAUCCCUCCAGGGCUUUGCUGGCCCAGUCUCCUGUGCCUCCUGUGGUCUGUUCUUAGUUUCCUUCUUCCUAGGGCUCUCGGUGGCCUGCCCCCCCCCCCCCCCCAAGCUGGGCUGCACCCUCCUUUCCCUCUGGCUGCUCCUUCCUCACUGUCAGGUCUGUAGGGCCCCUUUGUCUCCUUUGCUGAUUCGGUUCCUACCUCAUCUGCAGGGUUAGCCCCUCAGACCCCUCUAAGGUGACCCCAGCCAGGGGCAGCCACUCUUUAGCUGGGGCUUGGGUCUGCCCUCUUCUGAGUCCAGUGGGGUUGUGGCUGGAGACCGCCUGGCGUCUGUAUUGUGUCUGUGGCUGCUGGGCCCCUCCUGGGGUGGGCUCACGGGCCUUCUCUGCUUGGGGCCUUCUCUGCUCGGGGCUGUUUUCGUCACCUGUCCUCGGGGUUUCCUGGCAGCCUUUCCAGACGGUGACUUUCCAAGCUGUGGGCUCACUGAGAACUUUCAGGGUGCAGGGAGGUGGGGGACUUCCUGCCGAGGCCGGGCACUCUUCCUCCUGGCUCCCUCUUGACCCUGCUUGCGGGGUCUGUGCUGCUGGCUCGCUCAGGCUUGGCUGCUGGACUGAGAACGUGUGGGUCCUCUGGGGGCAGAUGGUGCAGGCUCCAUUCAUCUGGCAGAUCCGGAGCUAGGGGCACCCGCAAGGAUUAGGUGCAUGUGAAUCCUCUCCCCACGGCCAGGGCCCACCCCGGAGGUCCAAGCGGCCACCCGCAGCCAGUGUGCCUUCCGGCCGCACCUGGCGAGGAAGGCGCUGGCCCUGCGCAGGCAGGAGAGGCAGGAGUACCUGGAGCGGAUGGAGAAGCUGCAGAGGGAGGUGAGCGCGGGCGCCCGCCCAGGAUCCGGGCGUGGGGGCGGCGGCGAGGCGGGGCUUGGGCGGGGUCCGCCCGGGGCUGAGGGCGCAGUGACCCCCAGGGCCACGCCCCGCAGGCCUACCUGGCCUCGGUGCGCCGGGAGCAGGAGGCCGCGCGGCGGCAGCGGCAGCAGGAGGAGGUGGCGCAGCGCGAGCGGCAGGAGGAGCUGCGGCGCCGCGGUCGCCUGCUGGACGCCGCCUUCGAGGGCGACGUGGGCGAGAUCCGGGCCGUCCUGCAGGAGGUCGGUGGGGCGCGGCGGGCGCGGCGGCGCGAGGUGACGCGAGGUGACGCGAGGUGAGGCGCUGCGGGCCGGCGCAGGUGGAGCAGCUGCUGACCCGCGAGGGCGUGGGCCACGACGAGGAGGGCCGCGCGCUGCGGCUGCGGCGACGCGUGGCCACGGUGGAGUGCGAGGACGGCCACGGGAACACGCCGCUGUCCGAGGCGGCCGCGGGCGGGCAGGCCACGGUCAUCCAGCUGCUGGCCGAGCUGGGCGCCAGCCCCAACAGCAAGGUGCGCCCGCGGGCUGGGCAGCGUGGGGUCGUGGGUCCCAGCGCAGCCGCCGGCGGCUCAUGGGGCCCCUCGCGCAGGGCGCCUUCGGCAGAACGCCGCUGUACCGGGCAGCCUUCGGGGGCCACCUGGAGGCCGUGGAGCUGCUUCUGAAGCUCGGAGCCGACCCCCGAGUGUACGCAGACGACGGGAGCACCCCGGAGCAGGUGUGGGGCGGGCGCCGACUCAAAAUCUCCCUUGUCGCCCCACGGUGGCGCACGCCUGUAAUCCCAGCGACUUGGGAGGCUGAGGCAGGAGGACCGUAAGAUCAAGGCCAGCCUCAGCAAAUAAGCAAGGCCCUGUCUCCAAAUAAUAAAUAAGAAGGGCUGUGGAUGUGGCGUAGUGGCAAAGCGCCCUGGGUUCAAUUCCCAGCACCAAACAAAAAAUAAAAAUCCUCCCUUGUUGCCUGCAGUCAAGGUGACAGCCACCUGAGUUGUUUGGGUGACUUCCGUGCAGGUUUGCCUUAUUACCCUCCAUGCUCCUGUACCCGUACCCGGAGGCAGUGUUAGAGCCCUAGAUGAGGAGGCUGAGGCUGGCCACUCCAGGGGCUGGCUGGAGUUCCCACGGUGCUGGCG